rnacentral:rRNA from 1 species
AGAGUUUGAUCAUGGCUCAGAAUCAACGCUGGCGGCGUGCCUCAGACAUGCAAGUCGAACGCGAAAGUCUCCUUCGGGGGAUGAGUAGAGUGGCGCACGGGUGAGUAACACGUAGGUAAUCUACCUUCGGGUGGGGAAUAACCCAGGGAAACUUGGGCUAAUACCGCAUAAUGCAGCGGCACCACAUGGUGACAGUUGUUAAAGCGGGGGAUCUUCGGAUCUCGCGCCUGAAGAGGAGCCUGCGGCAGAUUAGCUAGUUGGUAAGGUAACGGCUUACCAAGGCGACGAUCUGUAGCCGGCCUGAGAGGGCGGUCGGCCACACUGACACUGACAUACGGGUCAGACUCCUACGGGAGGCAGCAGUCGGGAAUUUUGGGCAAUGGGCGAAAGCCUGACCCAGCAACGCCGCGUGAAGGAUGAAAUCCCUCGGGAUGUAAACUUCGCAAGAAUGGGAAGAACUAGUAGGGGUUAAUACCCUCUAUGAUGACGGUACCAUUUGUAAGCUCCGGCUAACUCCGUGCCAGCAGCCGCGGUAAUACGGGGGGAGCAAGCGUUGUUCGGAUUUACUGGGCGUAAAGGGCGCGUAGGCGGUCAGCACAAGUCAGUUGUGAAAUCUCCGGGCUUAACUCGGAAAGGUCAACUGAUACUGUGCGACUAGAGUGCGGAAGGGGCAACUGGAAUUCUCGGUGUAGCGGUGAAAUGCGUAGAUAUCGAGAGGAACACCUGCGGCGAAGGCGGGUUGCUGGGCCGACACUGACGCUGAUGCGCGAAAGCCAGGGGAGCGAACGGGAUUAGAUACCCUAGUAGUCC